UACGUAGGGGGCAAGCGUUGUCCGGAAUCAUUGGGCGUAAAGAGCGUGUAGGCGGUUCGGUAAGUCGGCUGUGAAAGUCCAGGGCUCAACCCUGGGAUGCCGGUCGAUACUGCCGGACUAGAGUUCGGAAGAGGCGAGUGGAAUUCCCGGUGUAGCGGUGAAAUGCGUAGAUAUCAGGAGGAACACCGGUGGCGAAGGCGGCUCUCUGGACCACAACUGACGCUGAGGCGCGAAAGCUAGGGGAGCAAACAGG
rnacentral:rRNA from 1 species